rnacentral:rRNA from 1 species
AUGGACAGGACGAGGCGCGGGAGGCGGCUCCUCGUGUCGCUCUGCUUCCUCUGCCUGGCCGUGCUGCUCCCCGGCGCGCUGCUGGCGUCGCCGGCGGCCGGGAGGAAGCGGCGGCAGGCCGGGUUCGACCACUACGUGCUGGCGCUGCAGUGGCCCGGCACCGUCUGCCGCCAGACCAACCACUGCUGCAGCUCCAACGGCUGCUGCCGAUCAAACCCUCUCAACUGGUUCACAAUCCAUGGGCUGUGGCCGCAGUACAGCUACGGUGGGUGGCCGUCGUGCUGCAGGCCAACCACCACAUUCAACAUGAACAAGAUCGCGAUGCUGAAGCCGAUACUGGAGAAGUACUGGCCGUCGCUCUACUGCGGCGACACCUCCACCUGCUUCGGCGGAAGAGGCCCCUUCUGGGCCCACGAGUGGGCGACUCAUGGGACGUGCGGCUACCCUGAGAUACAGGACGAGUACGACUACUUCUCCACGGCGCUCUACCUCUACAGCAAGUACAAUGUCACGAAAGCUCUGCGGAAAGCACACAUCUACCCGCGGAACGGCCGCAAGUACGCGGUGGCGCACAUCGUGGACGCCAUCGACCACGCCUUCGGGCGGCUGCCGCACCUCGUCUGCAAGAACGGCUCCGUGCAGGAGCUCAGGCUCUGCUUCCACAAGGACUACCAGCCCCGUGACUGCGGGUCGGAGGACGACGAGGCGUGGUCGUCGAGCAGGAGAAGCCAUUGCCCUCGCUACGUCACCCUCCCACAGUCUGGUACGUAUCAACAAUCGCUUGUUUCCUUGGGAGUACUGCACCUAAUUACUAAAAACGCAGAUACAGAGCUUCUCAGCCUAAAGAGUUAA